rnacentral:rRNA from 1 species
AUUGAACGCUGGCGGCAGGCCUAACACAUGCAAGUCGAGCGGUAGAGAGGUGCUUGCAUCUCUUGAGAGCGGCGGACGGGUGAGUAAUGCCUAGGAAUCUGCCUAGUGGUGGGGGAUAACGUUCGGAACGGACGCUAAUACCGCAUACGUCCUACGGGAGAAAGCGGGGGAUCUUCGGACCUCGCGCCAUUAGAUGAGCCUAGGUCGGAUUAGCUAGUUGGUGAGGUAAUGGCUCACCAAGGCGACGAUCCGUAACUGGUCUGAGAGGAUGAUCAGUCACACUGGAACUGAGACACGGUCCAGACUCCUACGGGAGGCAGCAGUGGGGGAAUAUUGGACAAUGGGCGAAGACCUGAUCCAGCCAUGCCGCCGUGUGUGAAGAAGGUCUUCGGAUUGUAAAGCACUUUAAGUUGGGAGGAAGGGUAGGUAACCUAAUACGUUAG